GAUGAACGCUGGCGGCGUGCCUAACACAUGCAAGUCGAACGAUGAAGCCCAGCUUGCUGGGUGGAUUAGUGGCGAACGGGUGAGUAACACGUGAGUAACCUGCCCUUAACUCUGGGAUAAGCCUGGGAAACUGGGUCUAAUACCGGAUAGGAGCGUCCACCGCAUGGUGGGUGUUGGAAAGAUUUAUCGGUUUUGGAUGGACUCGCGGCCUAUCAGCUUGUUGGUGAGGUAAUGGCUCACCAAGGCGACGACGGGUAGCCGGCCUGAGAGGGUGACCGGCCACACUGGGACUGAGACACGGCCCAGACUCCUACGGGAGGCAGCAGUGGGGAAUAUUGCACAAUGGGCGCAAGCCUGAUGCAGCGACGCCGCGUGAGGGAUGACGGCCUUCGGGUUGUAAACCUCUUUCAGUAGGGAAGAAGCGAAAGUGACGGUACCUGCAGAAGAAGCACCGGCUAACUACGUG
rnacentral:rRNA from 1 species